CCUGAACUUCCUCUGGCUCAACUUGAGGCUAUUACCUCUCAUCCUAUUGCUGUUACCUGGGAGAAGAGGCCAACCUCCACCUCACCACAACCUCCUUUCAGGAGUUCCUGUCUUCAGGAGAAGGUUUUCCUCCUUUCCUAUUAUUCAAAAGUUUGUUUUUUUUUAAUGUUUGGGUUUGGUUUUUUUUCCCCCCAAAGUUCAAGUCUGGUCCAAACAGAGCAUUUUGUUUGCUUCAAAAAUCAAUUUGUUAACUCAACGUACAACUGCGUUCCAGUAGGCAUUAUACUGCCCACUGAAUUUUACAGAAUUCCUGCUAAAUAUGGGCUGGUCUACUGCAAGAACAUGAAGACCUUUCUAGGCAGCAAGAUGUGGCACACGGGGUAUCACAGCUCUAAACAUUUCAGGGAAGCAGAUAAGGACUCACCUGCCAGGGCCAGCUGUAUGGUCUUGCAUCUUCCCCUCCAACAACUCGAGACACAGCAGGUGGGUAGGCAGGAACCCCGCAGCCAAGGGCUGGAAAACAUACAAAGAUAUGUGUUUUAAAAGUAGGUACUGAAAAAGAAUUCUGUAGGAGAGGUUGGGUUUGUUCGUUGUUCUUUUGGUUUGUUGGUUUAAUAUAGACUGUGUUUGUAUAGAAUGUUGAAAGGCAGAGAUACAGCCUACAAUUGGAUGUGUUUUGGGUGAAGAUACAGCCAUCAGUCAAGGCUGAGCAAUGUUAUAUAAAGCCUAUUUGUUUUUUGUCAGGUAAUCAAAUCAUGUUGGCUCAGCCAAGUUCUCAUGAGUCAACUGAGAUGUAGCUCAUAGCAAAUGCAAAACAAUCUGGCAUGGAUUGACUGUGUUAUAGUGUAUUCAAGCUAAGUAAAAUAACUUUUUGCUGCAGGCUGAGAGCAGUAAUGCUGCUUGAACCUCUGUGAUAUGAAGAGAGUAAUGUAGUAUGUAGUUGCCGUUUUGAGAAAACCUUUUAAUUAACAAAAGCAAUUAAUUAAUUCUCAUUCUGCUUUUUCAAAAAAAAAAAAAUUGCUAUUAGAUUUUAAUUCAUUUUUCUUUCAGAACUGGUGUUGAAAUUGAGCACAUACCUGCAGCUGCCAGAGUCAGCACAGCAAAGAGGAUUCCAAGCAUGGUGCCAGACCAAGUUGCAUUGUGUUUCAGCAUGCCAUCCUUCCUCAAUAAAACCAGCUGUGAUUGCUUUGGAGCAGAUGUUACAAGGAGCACAGAGAACAAGCUGUCUGUGAUGAUGGAGGAAUGCUGGUUCAGCUUGGUCUAGUCUGAAUAGGCUGAAGUAUCUUUCUUGCACUCAGUGGACAUCAUAUGUUGGCAGCUCUGCUUUCAUACGUCAAAAACCUCAUCCCAAUACUGUGAUGGCUUGGAAACAGCUCCUGUCUUUGUGCCAGAUGUUUCACAGAAUGUAAGCAGCUCAUGGGGCUUCAGUAAGAAAACGUACAGGUACUUCCAGAGUGUUAAAGCAUAAUAGCUAAUAACUCUGUCCAUGUACUUAAUGUACAAUUUAUUAGGUAGCCCUUUGGAUGGAUCCAUUUAUGUGCGUUCUUCAAACUUAAGCUUGGUCUGCAUGCCUCCAGAUAGAACAAUGUUACCUAGAGCCAGGGAGUGAAGAUUAGCACUGUCCCGUGUUUCUGUUAUUGUGUUUUCCAGCUUCUGCCUUUAAAAUUGCCUUCUUCUUCUUCUUCUGAAGUCUCCCUCUUGGACACAUUCAUAUUUUGUUUUCUACACAGUACUUUCUUUAAACCCAAGCACUGGUGUAGUUGAUGUAAUGUAAGGCUUGGAUGUAAUAUAAGGCUUGUUCUAACUGAGCAGAGAGUAAGGGAAGGAGAGAAGAGAGACCAAAGAAACCCACAUUUCAGUGAUCAGGUUAGACUGAGAAAUAUUUAUUUAGAAACAACAGCUUUGGUAUUUUAAAACCAAACAACCUUUAAAUUGCUAGAAAGUGAGAUGUCUCCCCCCACAGCCAAAACAAAUCAAUGCACAAAGCCUCAGUACGUUCAAAAGAGGAAACCUGCAGAUCAGCAUUUCUAAGUUCAAGUCCAGAAAAGAGUUUCUUUAAACUGAUUUUGCACUCUACAGUCAUAUAGGCUGAAAAGAUGUUACCUGCACUUAGAUAUCUACAGUUCAAUUGACUCUCUUGUUACUGAACUGGAGGCAAAAUUAUUAACAUCCUCCCCCACCCCUCAAGCAAUAAAUUAAAAAACACCAGAAAGGAAGUUAUGCUGAAGUUUUCUAGUUAAUUUAACUCUCUGAAGGGAAUCACCAUUCUUUAUUUUCCUGUAAAGUUAAAAAACAAAUCAAAAUAUCAAAGGACUCAGUAUAUCUUCAAGUAUUUUCACCAAAUGGAUUACUCUUAGGGAACUCAACAGCUUAUAAGGAAAAAGAGAAUGUCUGUUACACAAGAUUCUGGGAUAAACUCUUGAAUAACCACACGUUCCAAGUCUCAGAUUCCUUUCUUAACAAGGCACAAAAGGAUUGUUGCUUUCAAAAGGUCCUUGUUCUCAGCUGAAAAAUUGUCAGAUGUCUUGUGCAAAUGGAGGCUGAAAGCAGGACUAAGUUCACUCGGACACCAGGAAAUUCCCAUUCAAUUCAUGAAAAGGUGCUAUUUCAACACCAUUAAUCUUGCUUACUGCUAGAGAGGUUUUGAGCUUCAGCUGGCUUCCACUUCAUUCUUGGUUUCAGAAUUGAGUUCUGCGCCAUCUUCAUUUUAAGUAGGUCCAAUUAAGACCAGGCAACAGACUUGUUUGCUGUGCACUGCAAAGCUUUUUGCAAUGCCAAGAAGGAAGAGGUGUUAGGUCAGCCCUGGUGUGUAGCUGUGAAGUUCCUCAGCAUCUCAGAAAAUGUCAGGGACAGUUACCUCUUGCAGUGGCUAACAAGUUAUUUUGUAAAAGGCAGAUGGCAAGUCUUGUAAGUGACAAAGGCAACAAGAUAGCAGUAAAAAAAAAAAAAAAGAACACCGGUUUAUAAUGUCAAGGGUACAUUUCAGGAUGUGUGUCAGCAUGCAGCUGUGUAAUUCAAAUUACUUCCUCACCACUUCCUCCUUUUGCACUAUGGUUUCACCAUGGUCAUAUAAUUGUAACUGCAGCUGGCUUUGAUAUAAAUAUCUAUUCUACCUCUUCCAUGUUAGCUUGUUUAGCCAGAAACACCAUCCAUCUCAUUCAUCAAUGGAUGGCAGGUAUUCAGGCCUGCCUGGGAUCAGGCGUGAUCUGCACACUGCAAAGCCCGUGAGCUGUGACAGGAAAAUGACCAUCUGACACCCAUCA